CUUCGUACGGGAUGUAUACUUGUAUUACGAUCCGAUAUCGAGUGGCUAUAUCGGGAUUCUACCCGAAGGACCAUUGGUUAUACUAGUUGAAGUCUUUGAAGCACUAUAACUGGUGUAUUUCAAAGUGGUUCUGCCACACUGAGCAAGUUCCACAGCUCCUCACCCUGUCAAUUCGUCGGAAGGAGCAGCUUAGAAAUUGUCGCUCAAGAGUCCACCUUGCUGCAGCAGACCACCAGCAAGGCUGCAAAUGAUGCUGGCCUGGUCCCUAUGGCUGCAUAUGCAUCUCCUACAUUAAAUGCUCCAACCGGAACUACUUGGUCAAAUCAUCAUCUGACAGCUAGCCAGACCAGGAUGUCUAAUGCACUCAGUUACUUACAUGGAUUCUGCUUCAGGUGCAUCUUCACGGCACCUUGUUACCAGGUUAGUGAAACAACAUUCGGUGAUCGGAGCAGGUGAAAUCAGUCGAAAUCGGUGCUGAAGCAAUUUUUGCAAAUCCCUUCUGAACCAGCAGUAGAUGCAGAAUUAUCACUUGACCUACCUACUGAAACCAGCAUCCAGCUAGACUCCUCUAAACUUAACAUCCCUGUAGUGGAUGCCCUAUUAUCCUUGGCUCUCCAAAUUGCACUUGGGAAUAUAAAGAUGGAUCCAUAACCAUAAACAUUCCUUCAGUUGCUGCCUUUCUAUCUCUAGGACGCCAGAUCAUGAGUGAUAGCAUCCCAAUCGACAAACUAGACCUUUUCAGAGCUUUCAUCAUCGACUCUUUGGCAGCUAUCGGAAUGGUUAAAACCAACUGCCCUUCGCUCCUCUCCCCGCACUCCACGGUAAAAAGGACGA